GUGAACGCUAGUAAUAUGCCUAACACAUGCUAGUUGAACGGAAAUUUUUAAAUUUCAGUAGCGUAAGGGUGAGUAAUACGUGAGAAUCUGCCUAAAAGUUCAGUAUACUUCUGCUAUAGAUUAAUUCUGAAUAAUAAAUAAAGAUUGUUUUUAUCGCUUUUAGAUGAGCUCGCGCAAGAUUAGGUUGUUGGUGAGGUAAAAGCUUAACAAGCCUGUGAUCUUUAGUUGGUAUGGGAGUAUGAUCAACCACAUUGGGAAUGAGAAAAGGCCCAGGUUCUUUUUAGAGGCAGCAGUGAGGAAGUUUGGACAAUGAGCGCAAGCUUGAUCCAGCAAUGUUACGUGAGUGAAGAAAGUUAUGUGAAUUGUAAAACUCUAAGUUUGAAGAAGAUAAUGACGGUAUUCAAAUGAAUAAUCCCGACUAACUUCGU
rnacentral:rRNA from 1 species